rnacentral:misc_RNA from 1 species
UUUCCGUAGGUGAACCUGCGGAAGGAUCAUAAAAGAACGCCCCGUUUUUUGAAAUGGGUAAUUCUAAACCGUGUAUACAUACCUUUGUUGCUUUGGCAGGCCGCCCCUCAGGGCGUCGGCUCCGGCUGACUGCGCCUGCCAGAGGACCCAAACUCUUUUGUUUAGUGAUGUCUGAGUACUAUAUAAUAGUUAAAACUUUCAACAACGGAUCUCUUGGUUCUG